rnacentral:lncRNA from 1 species
CUUAGACAAUGUGUGAAGAGGCCUUUUUGGUGCCUGCUGAUGUUUUCCGGGAUGGUGGAUUCAGGAGUAUGCUGUCUUCACAAACAUUUCUGGCCUCAAAGUCACAUUGAGCAGCUUGGGCCUCCUAGCUCAGCCACUUAGUGUGUGACCUUUCUUGUCCUCCUUUGUAAAAUCAGAACAAAUUAUUCCUGUAGACAUGAGCACCUCAAGAGCAGGAGUGUUCCUCAUUUGCCAUUCUGUUCUCUAGAACUUGCAGUGCCUGGUGCCUAAUGAAUCCUGAGUGAACACAGGAGACAUGGUGAGAUCAUGUAUGUAAGGGCCUAAUACCACCCCUGAUUUAUAGCAACUGCUCAAUACAUGGGAGCCAAUCUUAUUAUUGCCACAGUGUUAUUUAUUUGAAUAUGGGAGGCAGCCUCUCAGAUGGCCGCCAGGGAGUCCCACCUCCUGGUAUUCUUGUAUUUGUACAUUCCUCGACUGUACACUGGAUAUAUUCACUCACUCCUAAGAAAUAGAAUGCAGCAGAAGGGAUGGAAUGUCACUUCCAAAAUUAUAAAAGACCAUGGCUUUUAUUUUGGGUCCUCUUUCUCACUGAGGUCUCUUGGAUUGCUCACCCUAGAGGAAGCCAGCUGCCAUGUCAUGAGGCAGCCCUGUGGGGAGGCUCAUGUGAUGAGGCGACUGAGUCCUGUAGACAACAACAAAUGUGAGCUUGGGAGUGGAUUCUCCAUCCAGUUGAGUCUUUGGAGGGGGCUGCGGUCCAGGCUGACAGCUUGACUGCCACGUUAUGAAAGACCGUCAGCCAGAGGCACCCAGCUAAGCCAUGCCUGGAUUCCUGACCCACAGAAACUGUGAGAUAACAAAUGUUUGUUGUUUUCCACGACUACAUUUUGUGGCAAUUAGUUACACAGCGAUAGAUAACUAAUGCAGUGCCUUUUCUUGGGUGAAAGAGUGCUGACAAUUUUUAGAGCCUGUGGCAGACAAGGAGAUGCACUGUUCAGAUCCCCAUUUAAGGGUGGGCUCACUGCCCAGCUGCAAAGAUUUCAGUUCACUGACAGCCUUCAAGUCCAGCUCAGCUUUCCAGCUGAGAUCAUGCUCUUCUUGGGACAUUCUCCCUAGUCAAUGACUGGGCAAGGGGGUGGAAGAACGGCCUAGCCAUCUCUGCUCAAUGCUGGACCCCUCCAGUGGGUAGUUUUUGCUUCAGAGCUUCCUGUUUGGCUGGUAGAGACUUUGAUAGGUCUCCUUCCAUGGGUGUUGCUCCCCAAUAAACCUUUCUAUUUUCCAUUCCCAUCAUAGCUUCUGCUUCCAGAGAAUCCAUUCUGUAAUGAAAUAUCUACUACACAGAAACUCAAGCUUUCAGCCAGGUGCAGAGGUGCUCACCUGUAAUCCCAGCACUUUGGGAGGCCAAGGCAGGAGGAUCGCUUGAGCUCAGGAGUUCAAGACCGGCCUGGGCAACAUAGCGAGACCCUGUCUCUGUGACACACACACACACACACACACACACACACACACACACAAAUUAGCCGGGCAUGGUGGUGCAUGUCUAUAGUCCUAACUAUUGGGAGACUGAGGCAGGAGAGUCACCUGAGCCUGUGAGCUCUAGGCUGCAGUGAGCCAUUAUCGUACCUCUACUCCAACCUGGGCAACAGAGUGAGAGCCUGUCUCUAACAAACAAACAAUCAAAUAAAGGCUCAAACUUUGUAGCCAACCCAGACCUGAGUCCAAAUACAGACUCUGCCCCUUGCUAGCUCUGUGACCCUGGGCAAAUUACUUAACUUUUCUGAGCCUUGAUUUUCCUACAUGUAAAAUAGAUGACAAAUAAUGUAGGAGCUGAAAUGGGAUACUUAUAGUGUAAAACAGAGUUCCCAGCUUCUAGUGAUAGUUAAAGGAUAAUUUUUUUUUUUUUGAGAUGGAGUCUCACUCUGUCACCCAGCCUGGAGUGCAGUGGUGUGAUCUCAGCUCACUGCAACUUCCGCCUCCUGGGGUCAAGUGAUUCUCGUGCCUCAGCCUCCCAAGUAGCUGAGAUUACAGGUAUGCGCCACCAUGCCUGGCUAAUUUUUGUAUUUUUAGUAGAGAUGGGGGUCUCACCAGGUUGGCCAGGCUGGUCUCGAACUCCUGACCUCAAGUGAUCCACCCACCUCGGCCUCCCAAAGUGCUGGGAUUACAGGUGUGAGCCAUCGCACCCAGCCAGGAGAACUAUUGUCUAUCCACAGACUACACAUCAACUAGUAUCUUUACAUUUUCCAUAAAAUGUUACUGGCAAUUGAUUAAAUACAUUGCCUAUUAUAUCUAUAGUAGAUCUUUGACAUUUGUGAGGAUUAUAUCCUUUACCUUUAUGAAAACUCAAGCUACCAAAGACCACUGUAGCACAUAUUGUCACAUAUAAAACAAAAUAAAGUACAACUGAAAAUUACACAUUACUCUGGUGUGUGUGUGUGUGUGUGUGUGUGUGUUUCAAGACAGGGUCUCACUCUGUCACUCAGCACCCAGGCUAGAGUACAGUGGCAUGAUCACAGCUCACUGUGGCUUCAAACUCCUGGGCUCAGACAAGUCUUCCAUCUCAGCCUCCCAAGUAGCUGGAACCACAGGUGCACAUCACCACACCCGGCUAAUUUUUAUUUUAUUUUUAUUUUCGUAGAGACAGGGCCUUGUUAGGUUGCCCAGGCUGGUCUCGAACUCUUGGGCUCAAGUGAUCCUCUUGCCUCAGUGCUAAGUGCUGGGAUUUAACAGGCGUGAGCCCCUGUGCCCGGCCUUCACUACUCUUUUAAGUCCUUAACAGUUCUAUAAGUAAGGAACUAAAGCUGUAUAAAGCUAUUAAAAAUAAGUGUGGCUUCAGUAAUGCCAAAGCAAUUUGGAGGAUUGUUUCUCUUGUUGGCACUGAACCUUACCACAUCAGAGGGCUGAGCCACUGCUGAAUGCCACCCUUUUAAUAAACCCAGACAUCUGAAAUUUAACAGGUCAAAACCUGUUUCUCCUACAGUCUGUGUCACCUUGGUAGAUAAUUCCAAGCCAGAAAACAGGAAGCCAUCAGUGAUAGCUCCCUCUUAUCCCUUACCUCCAAUCCAACAUCAUGUCUUAUUUAUCUAUUUGUUUUCCUUCAAAAUGGCCUAAAUCCCCUCACCCCUUUCCAUCCUCGCUGGUACCACCCCAGCUUCUUCUCUUUCAAGAGCCUGUUCACUUGCUCUCCUCUAGUUUAUUCUCCAUGAUACAGCCAGAUAGCUCUUUUUAAAAUGCAAACAAUGAUGAAUUUCCACAAUUCCCCAUGCAUUUGGAAUAACGGCUAUACUCUAUCUGCGCAAGCUACCCCCAGCCCCUCUCCACAAUCUGACCUGCACUCCCCAAACAUCCCCUUCCAGGAGUCAAUUUCUGUCUUGUCUUGUCUUAUUCAGCGCUGGCCAUAGGCAUUCCCUGUGUCUGGAACUCUCUUCUACAAGCUGUGGCUGCAGGCUCCUUUUUCUCCUUCAGAUCUGAACCUAAACAUCACCUCCACAUGGAAGCCUUUAUUAAGCAUCCUCUGAAAUAGGUUCCACCACAUAAAGCUUCCUUCUAUUAUUCGCAACCACAGUACCCACGUCAUUUCCUUCUUUGCAUGCACCCCUGUUGGUCAGGACACACUUAUUGGUUUAUUUGGAGGUUUCCCUCCAUUUGUUGCAGUUUCUUUGAGUGCAGAGGGCUUAUUCCUUGUGUUCAUCCAGAGCCAAUCCCAGUGCUGACCACAAUACAGAUUUCAUAAAUACAGUAAAUCCAGUAGUUCCCCCUUACCCAUGGGGGACAUGUUCCUAAACCCCCAGUGGAUGCCUAAAAUCACAGAUAGUACAAAACCUUUUUUUUUUUUAAUCUUUGUAGGUAGUGUAUUUUAAAUAGCUUUCAAGACACACAUAUUUUUUCCUUUAAAAAAGUCUGUUGGUGGCCGGGCGCGGUGGCUCACGCCUGUAAUCCCAGCACUUUGGGAGGCCAAGGCGGGCGGAUCACGAGGUCAGGAGUUUGAGACCAGCCUGGGCAACAUGGUGAAACCCCAUCUCUACUAAAAACACAAAAAAUUAGCCAGGCGUGGUGGCACACGCCUGUAAUCCCAGCUACUCAGGAGGCUGAGGCAGAAGAAUCGCUUGAACCCGGGAAGCGGAAGUUGCAGUGAGCCGCCGAGAUUGUGCCACUGUACUCCAGCCUGGGCGACAGAGCUAGACUUCCUCAAAAAAAAAAAAAAAAAAAAAAAAAAAAAAAGUCCGUUGGAGCAGUUUUGUUCCUGAAUUUUGCUGGUCAUUCUCAUGGUCCCGAGCCCCCAAACUCCAGGUCCUGGAGGCAGCCGAGGGGAAGGCUGGGAGCCCACGCGGCCUAUUCUGACGGCGCUCGCAGCACUGGUGGAGCAGCGGUGCCCCGUCUUGCCACAGAUCAUGCAUGGCCGCCAUGUGAGCUAAAACUUCCAUUUAUUUCAAAGCAGUAAUAAUUUAAAAUUCUAAAAAUCUUUCCACCGCUGAACGUUUAGAGGGUGAGGUUAGACAAAAGACGGGGAGGCUGAAGGCGCCCCAGAGGGGACCAUGUGGCCCACGCCUUCCCGAGCCAGGGAGCCGGUGGGCCGGUCCAGGAUCCUGCCCUGGAACAGGCGGGGCCUGUAGCGCUGACCAGCCAAGACUGGCGCCUCUGGGGCACCCAGUCUGUGGGUGCCGUGCGGCCCUGGCUGAGGGUGGUUGGGAAAGUCCCCGCGGUUUCCCCGCAGCCUCAGGCGCAGCGGGCAGUGGUGGGUGCCGGCCCACGCGGGCUCAGGAGUUACUUGUGGCGUUCUCUUUACUGGGCGAGCUGGAGGAGGGGGAGGACGACGAGGAGGAGCAGUUCAUCCCAGUCGGGCCCGGGGCGGGGGUGUUCGUGGCCGUGUUGUGUCCCGGGAGGCUUUUUCGGCAGACGGGGCAGCUGUCGUGCUGCUCCAGCCGGUGCACUAUGCAGCCAUCGUGGAACAGGUGGUUGCGGGGCAGCUGCUCGCCCAGCGCGUAGUCGUCCUUGCACACGGGGCACUCGAGCCCGGAGCCUACGUGCUCCUCGGUGACGGGGACGGUGGGGAGGGUCCUUGCUGCCGUCAGCCUGCGCCCCAGGAGAGAACGUGGGGAUCUCGAAGCUGUCGUCAAAGAUGCCGAAAGCAAACUGUCCGUAGCCCUGCGGCAGCGUGAACAGGUGCUGGUCCGCGUUCUCCAACGGCGGCCGGCUCUGGUCCGUGGGGGCAGUGGAAGGGGCAGAGCUGUUUUCUGUGCUCCUGGUCUCUUCAGGAAGCUCCUCGAUAAAAUCAGACGCACAUCUUGGGCAGAUAUAAUCCGAUAGGCGCGGGACGGUGUCCAGGGAGCAGCAGUGGCAGAAGAACCGUCCUAGCUGCUGCGACGCCUCGGCCCUGGCCACCGCCCCCUACUCUGCGCCGCCCGCCCCCCGCGAGGCGCCAACCGCCGGCCAUUUGCUGCUCCCUCGCUGAUCGACGCCCAAACCUUUUAUAUACUAUGUUUUUCCUACCUACAUAUCUAUGAUCGAGUUUAAUUUACAAAAUAGGCGCUUACUAAGGAAGCGAUUAACAACAAUAACGAAUAAUAAACACAACAAUUGAGUCAAAUAAGGGUUACUUGAACACAAGCACUGCAAUACCAUGGAUUGGUCUGAUAACUAACAGCUACUAAGAGACUAAUGGGCAAGUAGCAUCUACAGUUCAGAUACACUGAACAGCCGGAGGAUUCACAGGCCGGGAGGGGUGAAGCAAGACGGUGUGAGAUUUCAUCACGCCACUCAGAAUGGCAAGCAACUGAAAACAUGAAUUAUUUCUGGAAUUUUCAGUUUAAUAUUUU